GACGAACGCUGGCGGCGUGCCUAAUACAUGCCAGUCGAACGCUUCUUUCCUCCCGAGUGCUUGCACUCAAUUGGAAAGAGGAGUGGCGGACGGGUGAGUAACACGUGGGUAACCUACCCAUCAGAGGGGGAUAACACUUGGAAACAGGUGCUAAUACCGCAUAACAGUUUAUGCCGCAUGGCAUAUGAGUGAAAGGCGCUUUCGGGUGUCGCUGAUGGAUGGACCCGCGGUGCAUUAGCUAGUUGGUGGGGUAACGGCUCACCAAGGCCACGAGGCAUAGCCGACCUGAGAGGGUGAUCGGCGACACUGGGACUGAGACACGGCCAAGACUCCUACGGGAGGCAGCAGUAGGGAAUCUUAGGCAAUGGACGAAAGUAUGACCGAGCAACGCCGAGUGAGUGACGAAGGUUUUCGGAUCGUAAAACUCUGUUGUUAGAGAAGAACAAGGACGUUAGUAACUGAACGUCCCCUGACGGUAUCUAACAAGAAAGCCACGGCUAACUACGUG
rnacentral:rRNA from 1 species